rnacentral:rRNA from 1 species
GACGAACCGUGCGAACGUUAUUCGGAAUCACUGGGCUUAAGCGCGUGUAGGUGGACGGCACGUCGGUCGUUGAAAUCCCCCGGCUCAACCGGGGAAGGGGCGCCGAUACGACCGUCCUGGAGGGACGUAGGGGGGACCUGGAACUUCCGGUGGAGCGGUGAAAUGCGUUGAGAUCGGAAGGAACGCCCGUGGCGAAAGCGAGGUCCUGGACGUUUCUGACACUGAGACGCGAAAGCCAGGGAGCGAACGGG